GUGGGCAUUGUCUAAUAGGUAAGAUGCCAACUUUCCAAGUUGGAGAUGGAGGUUCAAGUCCUCUUGCCCGCU
rnacentral:tRNA from 13 species